AUAUCCUGAACAGAAGGACCCUUUUGGGAGCCUCUCAGGAGGGGGACCUGGGCCAAGGGUCACCAGCCUUGUGCUGGCAACUCCAGGACCGUGGGUGGGCUUC
rnacentral:lncRNA from 1 species